rnacentral:rRNA from 1 species
UUCAACCUACGGGAGGCAGCAGUGAGGAGUAUUGGUCAAUGGCCGGGAGGCUGAACCAGCCAAGUCGCGUGAGUGAAGACGGCCCUACGGGUUGUAAACCUCUUUUGUCAGGGAGCAAGGUGCAGGUCGGGACCUGCUGUGAGAGUACCUGAAGAAAAAGCAUCGGCUAACUCCGUGCCAGCAGCCGCGGUAAUACGGAGGAUGCGAGCGUUACCCGGAUUUAUUGGGUUUAAAGGGUGCGCAGGCGGAGGCACAAGUCAGCGGUAAAAUCGCUGGGCUCAACCCCGCUCC